CCGAACGGAGCACGAACCGUGAAAAAAAAAUUUCGAAACAAGGUGGAACACGUACCUUUGCGGCCGAUUCUUCGUCCCAAAUCACUAGUUGCUUGUCCAUGCUUCGAAUGGGGCUUAAAUCUCCUUCAAAGAUCGCCUAAACGAUGUAAAUGGAUCGAGGGGUUUAAGGGGGGUUUGAAGGGGGGGUUUUUUUUUCUUUUCAAAACGAAAUGGAGGAGGAGGAAGGGGGGGUGUAUGAGAAAAUUUCAAGGGCAAUAUGGUAAUUACACUAAAGGUUAGUUUGGGUAUUUUUUUUUGGUUUUUGGGGGUGUCCUGAGCAAUAGGGGGGG
rnacentral:lncRNA from 1 species